AACUUGGAAUUAGAUUAUAGUUCCCUUGUAUGGCGACAUACAAUGAAAAACUCCUUUAAUUCAGUGAAACUCUCAAAUGAGACAAUACUGAGCGAAGCCUUUUAAUUAAGGAACGUGCAACGACUAGUCGAAAGACGUAGGGUGUAAGCAAAUGACACUCGAAACGGGGAGCAACUCAAGUAGUUGAAGAUAUAGUCUAAUCUAUGCGGUGACGUAUAG
rfam:Bacillus cereus Rock4-18 chromosome, whole genome shotgun sequence.